AUUCCAUGUGAUGCAACAUAACAGGAUCAUGCAGAAAAAAAAUAGCUAUUUCAAUAGAGUGGGUAAGUAGAUUGUUUAGUUUGGUGGCUAUUUCAAAAAAUGGCUAUUUCAACAGGAGCAUACCAUGUAUUUCAAUAGAUUGUUUGGAUCUAGUUAGCAUUCUUAUUUUUCCAGUGUUUGAUGUGAUUCAAAGCAUGCUCCUUCCACAAAAUGCAAACAUGUAUGAAAUUUUGGAUAACAGUGCCUGUUUCAAUAGAGUGGGUAAGUAGGCAAUAUUAAUGUUCAUUUUGAUUUUAAAAAGAAAAAAAGAAAAAAAAAGAAAAAAAAAAGGAAGAAAAACUUUGAGCUAAAAAGGUACAGUUCUAAUAAUUUUUUUGCCUGUCUACAGAUUUCUGGAUCCAGCAAGUAGAGAAUGGACAUAAAAGGAUGCAAAAAAGGAAGAAAACACAUGACAACUAAUGAAGGAACAGGAUCAUACCACAACAGCAGAAAGUUUACUUAGUUUUGGUUUAUUUGUUUGCUGUUGUUGUUUUUUUGGAGGCCUACAGCUUAUCAGUAAGGGGAGAGCUCAAGAAUGGAGUAAAUAGUUUGUUAAUUGAUGCUUCUGAGGGUGAUGAUGCAUUGAAGGCUUCAAAACACACAAAAAGGUCUGAGAACCAGAAUGGAAAUCAGCCGAUUAGAUCAAGACAACCAACAAUUAAUGGCCAUAGGGUCAGGGAUGCGGAUGCCACAAUUCCUGCCAGAAGAGAUUCCUCCUGUCAGGCUGCCACUAAUAUUGUAAAUGAGGCAAAGGAUCUUUAACACUCGGCUGAUCGCCUUAAGAAUUCUGGAUUAAUUGUUGAAAGUACAGGUCUUUACUUCCAGGCAGCCCUUAAGUUUCUUCAUGGAGCCUCUUUAUUGGAAUCUAGCAAUGGCGAGAGUGCCAAGCAAGGCGAGAUGAUUCGGUCAAUGCAAAUGUGUAGUAGCACAGCAAAACUCUGUGAGUUUUGUGCUCAUGAAUAUGAGAAAUCCAAGGACAUUGCUGCUGCUGCUCUGGCCUACAAAUGCAUCUAGGUGGCAUAUAUGAGAGUAAUUUAUUACUCGCAUACCAAUGCAAGCAGAGAUCGGCAUGAGUUGCAGACAACUUUGCAAAUAGUCCCUCCUGGAGGAAAGGCCGAUGAAUAAGUACUAUAAUUUCAUUUGAAAUCAUGACUUCCAUAAGAGAAACUGAAGCAACUGGAAAUAUCAGAGCAGGAAAUUUAUUGCACUGGACAAAAAUCUUUUGUGGUAUCUUCUUUCUAGUACAAACGUGUGAAUCUCCCUCUUCCUCUGCCUCCGACGUUGAUAACUUAAACAACCCAACAACAUUAGACAAGGUUCCCUUAACCAAGGGUGUUAGCUCUUCUCAAGUUGCUGCAAACCAUGUUAUUGCUGCAUGAAACCGCCCCAGUUUGGUGCGGCUGCUCAACUUUAUCAAAGGGUUGUCAGCCCCAUUGAAAGACAACGUGAAGAUUAGGAGAAGUAGGGGAAGAGCUGGUGCUAAGGUUUUCCAAUUGUGAAUACCAUCAUCUUUCAAAGAAGCAAAACUCAAGACAAUAACGGAAUCAAACGUGCUCUUUUUCUUUCCACAUGUAGUGUCUUCUUGCCAAAUUGUCAAGACCUUACCAGGCUUUGAUGGUGAACUUCCUUUCACUCUUGAAACUGGGUA